UACGUAGGGUGCGAGCGUUAAUCGGAAUUACUGGGCGUAAAGCGUGCGCAGGCGGUUUUGUAAGUCAGAUGUGAAAGCCCCGGGCUUAACCUGGGAAUGGCAUUUGGGACUGCAAGGCUUGAGUGCGGCAGAGGAGACUGGAAUUCCUGGUGUAGCAGUGAAAUGCGUAGAUAUCAGGAGGAACACCGGUGGCGAAGGCGGCAGCCUGGACCGACACUGACACUGAGGAGCGAAAGCCAGGGGAGCAAACGGG
rnacentral:rRNA from 1 species